CCCUUAGAUGUUCUGGGCCGCACGCGUGCUACACUGAGUGGAUCAGCGGGUCAGGUUGCGCGAAAGUGUUUCCUAAUCUUUAAAUCCGCUCGUGAUGGGGAUUGACGGUUGCAAUUUUCCGUCAUGAACGAGGAAUACCUUGUAAGCGCGGGUCAUCAUCCCGCGCUGAAUACGUCCCUGCCCUUUGUACACACCGCCCGUCGCUCCUACCGAUUGAGUGGUCCGGUGAGGCUUUGGGAUCUGAGCGGAAAGAGCGUUUCGCUGUUUCUGCCCGGAAAACUCAUUCGAACCUUAUCAUUUAGAGGAAGGAGAAGUCGUAACA
rnacentral:rRNA from 1 species